CAGCGCCGCGGUAAUACGAAGGGGGCUAGCGUUGCUCGGAAUGACUGGGCGUAAAGGGCGCGUAGGCGGUCUGUACAGUUGGGUGUGAAAUUCCUGGGCUUAACCUGGGGGCUGCACCCGAUACGUGCAGGCUUGAGUGUGGAAGAGGGUCGUGGAAUUCCCAGUGUAGAGGUGAAAUUCGUAGAUAUUGGGAAGAACACCGGUGGCGAAGGCGGCGACCUGGUCCAUUACUGACGCUGAGGCGCGAAAGCGUGGGGAGCAAACAGGAUUAGAUACCCGAGUAGUCCAUGUCUCUUAUACA
rnacentral:rRNA from 1 species